AAGAGGAAAAGUAGACAGUGUGUGGUGCACUUAAAGAAAAAAGGAGGCAGAGUCUCCUUCGUCAGACCAUCAGAGGCGUGAGACAUGGGGUAAGGAAAAUGGGAGUUUUCCUUGUAGAAAAAUUACGAUCCACAAAGAUCUAACGGUCCGAUUUUCAAUCCGUCUUCGGUAACGUGAUCCUUGCACUCGGAUCUACAUUACUACCGUUCACUUUAAGGAUAGUGUCCGGAUUGGAGUCUUUAAUGGGUUCUCCAAUGUAGAGUUCGAGUCAUGGUCCAAUGCAGCCAAGAUGAUGUUCCUUUGGCUGCAGGUAUUCCGGUCGUAGUUGAUAGCAUUGUAGAAAGAUAUUUUGGAUGUUAUGACUGAAGCACGCCGCAACGGUCGUAAUUGGUGGACCACGGGUUGUCCACUUGUUUAUAGGUUUGGUUUAUGGCUUAUGACGUUUGUGUCACUUGUUAUUGUACAAAACCAUUUAUGUCACUUAUUUAAUUCGUGGAAAGAUUUAAUCAUAUAGAUAUUAAAUGGCUCUUUGUUGUAAUUAUUUGUGAUAGAUGUAUAAGAUGUGAUUUCCGCUAAUAGGUUA